rnacentral:SRP_RNA from 1 species
GCCAGGUGUGGUGGCUCACGCCUGUAAUCCCAACACUUUGGGAGGCUGAGGCGGGUGGAUCACCUGAGGUCAGGAGUUCGAGACCAGCCUGACCAACAUGGUGAAACCCCGUCUCUA